GCAUAUCAAUAAGCGGAGGAAAAGAAACUAACAAGGAUUCCCCUAGUAACUGCGAGUGAAGCGGGAAAAGCUCAAAUUUUGAAUCUGGCGGUCUUUGCAGGCCGUCCGAGUUGUAAUCUAGAGAAGCGUCUUCCGCGCCGGCCUGUGUACAAGUCUCCUGGAAGGGAGCGUCAUAGAGGGUGAGAAUCCCGUCUCUGACACGGACCACCGGUGCUAUGUGAUG
rnacentral:rRNA from 1 species